UGAAAAAGCAUCUCCACUUUGAUGUAUCAAAUUACAAUUAAAACAUUGGGGACCUUCCUUUGAGAGUAACUCUUGGUAACCAUAGCAACGGUAGACAGUUCUCCUCAUGUCGGUGCAUGCAGGUCACUGACAAGAAAAACCAAAAGAGCACAGGCUGCUUAUCAGUUGCUUAUCUCAAGAGCUUCAACAUAAUAAUCGAUGCAUCAUAUAAUAACAGAAUCGAGCCAUCAUAAAAUGUGGGGAAACGUUUUGUAUGUCUCUACCUGUGUAGCUGCGCUGUGCUGGGGAUGUGCUUUGUCCCACACGGAUGGCAAAGACAGCAUGACCCAGCUCCUCACUCUCCCUGGCCGCCCCGUCACCAUGCCUUGCGCAUACCGCUACGAGGACCACGGGGAAGUGCCCCAGCUGUCCGUCCAGUGGCGGGGCCCCCCGGGGAGGGGGCUGCUGUGUCAUUACAUCAAGCACAAGGCCUUCCAGAACUGCACCCCGGGCUACAGCCUCUCGUACCGCCCGGCCAGCAUCCUGCUCACCAUCCAGCAGGUCCAAGCGUGGGACUACGGCACACACGUGUGCUCGGUCAGCAAGCGCCACGACGUGUCGGAUAACAGCGUCCACCUGGCCAUGAGGACGGGUGAGCGGAAAGCAUCCCCCCCCCCCCCCCCUUCAGAGAGGCCCCCGCUCCCUCUGCUGUGUACGAUUGGGCCUGUUUGAACAGAACACCACUCCCAUCUGCUGCUGCAGCUGAUUAUGUAUGAGAUAAGGUUAUACAUUGUAAGCGGUGGAGGGUAAAGGGUUGGGGACUGUAGGGUUAAUGUGUUGCAUCUGUUGUUUUUCAGAGGGGGUCAAUGAAGGACAAAGCAGCGGCCGGCCCCUCCCAGGUAUGUCCACGUGCACUUCCACCAUGACAUACUUAAAUAUUUGUCAAUGAUUGAUGGUUGAUUGUUAUGCCAUAGGAUAUGUCAGUAAUGACACUACGUGUCACAUAACACAACACAAAGAGCGUAUUUCUCUAUAUUGAUGCACGCAUUAUUAAUAAUGUAUGUUUUAAAGUGGGCUGUUUGAGCAUAGACAUUAUUUGAACAAAGUGAUGGGAUAUGCAUGCCGUAUGGAUAGUGCGAGGUACCACAAUGAACACAAUGCAUAAUAAGUGGUCCUAUGAACCUUUGUCUCAUUAGGUCCUACCCAGGGACUGGCUUUCCUCCCUGCCUUGUGGUGGAUUAUGUGUACGUAAAUGGACAGAUGGCCGAUGAGAUGGGCAACCUAUUGGAAGCUAGCUGGGAAGAGACCAUUUCAUUAUGCACCACUAAAACCUGUAUAUUUAACAUAGAAUGAUAGGAAUAAAAGUCUGUGUGGCAUUCUGUUUUGUUUGUUGUUCCAUUGAGGGAUCAGGAUUCUUAAAGGAUCGGGAUUUAGGUUUAAGACAAAAACUGAGGUUGAUGAGUAACUAUUGAGUACACAACCAUUCAUUAGGGCAUGCUGUGGCUAUGGGCUAUACUCAGCUAGAAACACUGCAUUUAACCAUAGUUCUUUUUAAAGAUAAUAUAGCUGAACAACUGACCCAUUUGAACUUAUGGCUAAGACGACGGAGAUGAUGAAAUGUAGGUGAAUAAAUCAGCAACUAUAUCAGAAAUCCUCUCUUCUUUGUGUUCUUUUAUCCAAAGCACCUCAGGUCAUUUUAAGGAGCAUAUAUGGACAAUUGUUAAAGGUACGCUGUGUACAAAGUGG
rnacentral:lncRNA from 1 species